rnacentral:rRNA from 1 species
UACGAAGGGGGCUAGCGUUGUUCGGAAUUACUGGGCGUAAAGGGCGCGUAGGCGGCCUGCUAAGUCGGACGUGAAAUCCCCCGGGCUCAACCGGGGAACUGCGUCCGAUACUGGUGGGCUCGAAUCCGGGAGAGGGAUGUGGAAUUCCAGGUGUAGCGGUGAAAUGCGUAGAUAUCUGGAGGAACACCGGUGGCGAAGGCGGCAUCCUGGACCGGUAUUGACGCUGAGGCGCGAAAGCCAGGGGAGCAAAGCGGG